rnacentral:snoRNA from 1 species
AAACCAUGAUGAGGACACUCUAAAAGAAGGUCUUUGAAACGUUCUAUGCAUCAAGAGAAUGGUUCAUUGGGUUGCUGGCGAAACUGGAGACUGUCAUUCCUAAGCCU